UACGAAGGGGGCUAGCGUUGCUCGGAAUCACUGGGCGUAAAGGGUGCGUAGGCGGAUUCUUAAGUCAGGGGUGAAAUCCUGGAGCUCAACUCCAGAACUGCCUUUGAUACUGAGAGUCUCGAGUUCGGGAGAGGUGAGUGGAACUGCGAGUGUAGAGGUGAAAUUCGUAGAUAUUCGCAAGAACACCAGUGGCGAAGGCGGCUCACUGGCCCGAUACUGACGCUGAUGCACGAAAGCGUGGGGAGCAAACAGG
rnacentral:rRNA from 1 species